CAGUCGCCGCGGGAAUACGAAGGGUGCAAGCGUUAAUCGGAAUUACUGGGCGUAAAGCGUGCGUAGGCGGUGAGUUAAGUCUGCUGUGAAAUCCCCGGGCUCAACCUGGGAAUGGCAGUGGAUACUGGCUCGCUAGAGUGUGUCAGAGGAUGGUGGAAUUCCCGGUGUAGCGGUGAAAUGCGUAGAGAUCGGUAGGAACAUCAGUGGCGAAGGCGGCCAUCUGGGACAACACUGACGCUGAGGCACGAAAGCGUGGGGAGCAAACAGGAUUAGAUACCCGCGUAGUCCCUGUCUCUUAUAC
rnacentral:rRNA from 1 species